CCGGAGGAAGUGGGGAUGAUGUCAAGUCAGCAUGGCCUUUAUAUCCUGGGCUACACACACGCUACAAUGGCCAACACAAUAGGUUGCUAAGCCGCGAGGUGGCGCCAAUCCAUAAAGUUGGUCUCAGUUCCAGGAUUUGUAGGCUGCAACCCGCCUGCAUGAAGAUGGAGUUGCUAGUAACCGCAGGUCAGCUAUACUGCGGUGAAUACGUUCCCGGGGCUU
rnacentral:rRNA from 1 species